rnacentral:misc_RNA from 1 species
AGGGUCUGAAAUCAAGACACUUCAUUGAAGUGGACCACCUUGAUGGUGCAAUAGAUAAUACGGCAAAUGAUAUAGAUAGUAAGCAGAAGAGAACUAUACCAAGGUUUAGGACUACCAAAGUUGAAGCCUAGAUCCUUAAAAGGUGUUUGUAUGUUAGCACAUUUUGAUGUCAGCAGCCCAAUGAAAUAAUUAAGAGAACAUUCAAUGCAUAAACAGUCAAAUCAUUCACAUGCCAAUAUCACAUCUUUAUCUUCGAUAUUUUUCAAGUUAUUUUCUCAAAUAUUGACAACUCAAAUUUAAAUGAAAAGAAAAACUAGAAAGAAAAUAAUCAAAAGAGCAGGGAUAUAAAGAAUAAAAAGGAUCAGGCUAACUCCCAGCCUUCAUCUGUUGGAUAAGAGAGUUGGGUAAGAAAUAGGAGAUUGGACAAGAGAAUAUGUUCACAGUUAGCAAAAAACCAUCAAAGUAUAAACAACAGAUGUAUCUCUUUGUAAAGAUUAAGAAAAUUGAAGUUAAGUUACGUAAAAUUACACAAAAGAAAAAAAAUAAAUA